GCGUUCUUGUCAAGUUAAUGGUAUAUCCCUCCCAUCGAUCUCACUUACCUGGCCAUAUGUGUCGAUCCAGUUCUGAUUUAAGGUGACUAACAAUUCAAGCUAACCCAUGCCACUAGGUUAGUCAUAAUUGUUAUGACUAUGUCAAGUCAAAUUUAAUGAGACCUAAAUUAAAUCUCUCUAAAAAAAUAUUAAGUCUAAGGUCUUCCACCAUUGUGGA
rnacentral:lncRNA from 1 species